GUCACGGGGGAGAGCUCUCCCGCUCGAAGGAGUGCUUCUCGAAGCAGGAGUGCAUGUGUUGGUGCUUGUCUAGGGAUAGCAGGAGCAGGGAAGAAAAGUUUGCUUGAAUCAAACGCGACAAUGAACGAACGAGCACGUUGCGGCUGAAGUGGGGCGGAAUUUCUGCUUCCUCGCGCCGCCACGAAACGCGUUUCAUUCGUUCAUCAUCACGUCAAUCCGACCAGCUUCUCUUCUCUGUGUAAUUUCCACCGGACAUACGAGUCAGAAUCCAAUAAGUAGGACGCGCGAUCCUUCUUCAUCCUUGAGGCUGUGAUUGUGCAAUUUCCAGCAAUACAAUCUGUGAUGUGUAUCGUGACAUAAGAUACGUUGCGAAAUGUGACGGUAUUCCCGUCUCUAAUUUGCUAACGUCAGCUAGCACGCUUGAGAGAAAAUGACAAACUGAAUGGAUUCCGGCUCGGAUGCGUGAGUCACAUUUUCUUCGCGCGAAUCUCCCGCUGCGUCGCGAGACAUCGCGACAGUCGCGCUGCGACUGGUGUGAAACGGGCCUUAAGACGCGGCAAGUGUCAGCGACUUUUGGUAUAUUCGUAUCACGAAUCACGAGAGAUAACUCGGCCGAUCUGCUUUAAUUACUGAUAAGUUACUCUCGUACGAUACACAAAAUGGCAGCGAGCUGUUUAUAUAACGCUGAAGCAGCGAUACAGCGCUACAGUGAUGCGCCGUCGUCACCGGUGUCCGUUUCGAGCGCAGUGAUCGAGUCAGCGGGAAACUGUCGACCGUAAAUGGUAAACGACUUCAGGAUCUUUACGCAUCGAGUGCACACUGAGAGCUUUACGUAGAAUAUCCUGCGUGGAGCGGAACAUGUCUGCAGUAUCGCAGAAGAGAGAACAGAAAAAGGAUGAAGAGGAAACGAUUGGGAAAUCGGCGCUGCUGCGUUAACCGUGAUUUUGAUAUCUUAUCUGAAAUCAGAGCGUGUUGCCUUCAAGCCAAGAAGAUAGCCAAGAAGAGAGCGGAGAUCCUCAGGGUCGUUCACUUCGAGUGCACGUUGCUUGGCUCUCGUGAAACGACGACCGAAUUUUAGAACACGUAGAUGCACUGCGAAGCAGAACGUUUACCCGCGCCAUCACCGCCAAUGGACAGGGUAUAGACCGAGCUGCGCUCCUACUCGACGGAGUAGGACAGCUGACGUGUUCAAUCACUCGUGAAGUUUUUUCAGUCAAGACUCUCCCGUGCUGAGUCAUCGAAUAAUUUUGGCACCUCGAUCAGGCGGAGAAAGGAUGUUAUCUGUUGUCUUUUUCGUCUUGCCGUUAAAUAAACCGCCUGCCGCGGGUCGUCUUGCCGUGGUCAAGUGGUACGAGAAGGAUAAAUGCCGGGACUUCGUGGUGCAGAGGUUGCCGGUUCUCGGCUGGCUGCCGCGAUACAAACCCGCGUGGCUGCUGCAAGAUGCACUGGCCGGCGUCACGGUCGGCCUCACCGCCGUGCCGCAAGGCAUCGCUUACGGCAUCGUCGCCGGCUUGAGUCCUGAGUACGGGCUGUACUCGUCGUUCAUGGCAUCCUUCGUCUACAUCGUUUUCGGCUCGUGCGAGAACAUCACUAUCGGGCCAACGGCCAUCAUGGCUAGCAUGAUUCAGGAUUUGGUCGCGAGUUACGGCAGCGACAUGGCUGUGCUGAUCGCUUUCCUGAAGGGAUGUAUCAUCGCGCUUCUAGGGAUCCUCCACUUAGGUUUUCUAUUGGACUUUAUAUCGCUGCCGGUGAUCACCGGCUUCACCGCGGCCGCGGCGAUCAACAUAGCGUCCUCCCAGUUCAAAUCUCUUCUGGGUAUUCCCGGCAGGAGCGAGAGUUUCCUAGAUUCUUUGAUCGGGAUCUUCAAGAACCUCAAUCAGAUCCGGUACCAAGACACCGCGCUGGGCGUCGGGACGAUCGUGGUGUUGGUUUUGCUCAAGAACAUACCAGGGCGGCGUGUAGGCAACGUCUUUCAAAAAGCCGGCUGGCUUGUCGCUUUGUCACGCAACGCGCUCGUCGUAAUUGCCGGCGCCGUUAUGGCGUAUAUCUUUCAUGUUAACGGAAAAACGCCUUUCAAAUUAACGGAUCGCGCAACGACACAGGCACGUUCUCGUAGCGAGCUGCCGAUAUACGUCGGCGAGAGCAAUCACUUGCUGCGCAUCGCCGGCGCCGUCGCGAUUGAAAUGAUCGAUGGGUCAGGGUCUGCCGACGUUCGAGCCUCCGCCGUUCUCCACGACCUUCCAAAACCGCACGUACAGCUUCGUGGAAAUGGCCAGCGCGAUGGGCACGAGGCUGUUCUCGAUACCGGUCGUGUCGACGAUCGAGCACAUCGCCAUCGCGAAAGCCUUCGCGAAGGGCAAAGCUCUGGACGCCACGCAGGAGAUGAUCGCCCUGGGAGCCUGCAAUAUUUUGGGAUCGUUCGUGCGAUCGAUGCCGGUGACGGGAUCCUUCACGCGAACGGCCGUGAAUCAUGCGUCGGGCGUGAGAACGCCGUUGGGAGGAAUAUUUACAGGCGUCUUGGUGCUGCUCGCGGUCAGCCUCUUGACUUCCACCUUCUACUUCAUACCAAAGGCGACCCUGGCCGGCCUCAUCCUCGUCGCGAUGUACUACAUGUUGGAUUUUCCGACGUACGUCAUGCUCUGGCGUGCCAGAAAGGUCGAUUUCUUCGUGAUGGUGCUGACAUUGGUCCCAAGCGUCUUUCUCGGUUUGGAGAUAGGCAUCUUGAUCGGCAUCGCCGUCAAUCUCAUGGCGCUGCUGUAUUUCUCAGCGCGACCUUCCAUCCAGACGCAAAUCGAACAGAUCGCAGGGGAAACCGUAAUAAUCGUGACACCUGAAGAGGCAGUGGCAUUUCCAGCGGCGGAGCGCCUACGUGCUAACAUAAUGAAGCUUUCCGGGGAGAGUGAAUGCAACGUGAUACUUGAUUGUAAGAAUCUGAAGAGGCUCGACGUUACGGUCGCUAAGAAUAUGAAGCUCUUGGCGAAGGAUCUCUCGCUACACGACCAGAGGAUCACCUGCAGUAAUUGCUCCGAAAAUGUGAUCGCCACCCUGAGGGUCGUAGCGCCGGAACUAUUAAGCGCCAAGAAGGCCGAGGAUAACCACGGCUGAAGAAAGAGACGGUCUGUCUCUCUUUCUGCCUGAACGUCACA
rnacentral:misc_RNA from 1 species